rnacentral:misc_RNA from 1 species
CGCUUGUUGCCAUGACCAAAAUUGAAGACCAUUGUAAACUCACAUAAAGUAACAACACCCAAAAAGAUGUCAGCAGCAUCCCCCGCUAGCUACCCAGAAAAACUUUACUCGAAAAGAUGAUUGUAUAAAAAACUUACAUCUAAAUACAGCUCAUCUUCCCCAACACCUUAGUUGUCAAACUUCACUUUUGGUGCCGUACCCAUGUCAGGUUCUUCAAAAAUACACUAUUUUUUGGCAAACUCGACACGCACCCGUCGACAUUUUUCGAUAGUUUGAGCAACAUAGCCAAACACAAGACGUUACUAUACCUAUAAACACAUUGUUCCCAAUGGUUUUAAAUACAGCUAUAUCCACAUUAGUAUCAGUCAACAUUCCGGUAGAAGCCUUUGAUGGAG